GUCCUGCUUCAUACCAAUCCUUCUAACAUCAUCAUCAAACAAAAUGCAGUGAGGCAUAAACUGUUGGGACAUACCGCUCGGGGCCACUGCUGUCUGGGACUGAAACACUGGCAUUGUACUGCAUUGGUCAUUGGCGUUCGUGGAUGUUGGCAUUGGGCAUGGGCAUUCAAUCAGAAGUUGUCAAGUAUGGUACCCGUUUGGCAACGAGCACAUUUUUGGGCAUAGCCAACCAGGGUUUUCACAUGGGCGUUCAGGGGCGGAUGGGCCAACGUCAUGGUGGGCAACGCAGGGGUAAGUCGAUCCAGUACAUGGGCAACGGAGAUAUAUGGCCAAAAAAACAAGGAGAGGGAAAAGGGGGAAAAGCAAUAAAUUUUAAUUUAAUACAAACUA
rnacentral:lncRNA from 10 species